CGGACGUAGAACUGAGAGGAAGGAGGGAGUUUGUUUUGAUUUUGAACAUUCUUUCCUCGUGGACGAAGCCAAACACUCAAGAGGGAGAAUGAUUGGCUACGAAGACUGCUAGUAUGGAUCACACCGGAGAUAAAACGAUGUACAAUAGGUUCGUUGCUAUACUCCCAGCAGCUCUCUCACCCAGUCUCUGAAGGGGAGGUUGGCCCUGAGCAGCAGCACUGUGGGUCCCCCAGUCUGGGGCAGGAGGAACCAGAGCCCACACAGAUUAAAGAGGCACAGACACAUAAACAUCCAUUCAUUAUUAAAGUUCAUGCAAAAAAAGUAUCAUCCUAUAUAUCCUACAAUUUAAAAACACAAUACAACCACACGUGGAUACAAUGCAUUUAAAAUGAUUGAGGAUGACACAAUAACAAAUGUAUUUCCAUUUUGGCCUUCUUGAUGAAAAC
ensembl:lncRNA